GAAACAGUUGUUGUUUUGCCCGUUUCCACGAAAGAUCAUAAUUGCGCAAAAAAGCGACGUGUAUGUGAUUUUUUAUUCCCUACCCAAACGUGCGGAGUUUUUGGGUUCCCUCUUUUGUACAAAUGCAAUUACAAUAAAAAAACAUAAAAAGUGCAUUAAAGAAGAUAUAGAAAAAAAGAAGUGAUUUUUUUACCAAGAAGAAGCAAUAAAAAAGAGGAAGUUGUCAAACUAAACCUCUAGCAAAUGCAAAAGUUAAUACUAAUAAUAAAAAGAAUAAAUUAAACGAAAAACGAAGGUAUUUAAAACCUUAAAGAAAAAUAAAGCUGAUUUUGUUAAAAAAACAGCUUGUUAUUUUUUUUUGCCAACUUAUAAGUGAAGUUUUAUUUUCUGGUGUUUUAACGUGAGUCAGUGUGAAUGUGUGUGUGUUUGUUCACUAAAGAGAAGUAGAGAAGCAAAUAUAAAUAAAGUAAACGAAAAAUAAAUUAUACAAAAAAACAACAAAUUCAAUUUUGUAUACCAUAAGAAAGAAGUGAAAAUUUUUUAAGAAAAUUUGCUUAAUUAAUCAAAAUUGUUUAAUUUAUUUGAAAAAAAAGAAGAAAAACAAAUAUCAAAUCAACUAAAGUCAUUUACACUUGCGCAUAUUUCAAUACAAAAAAUGUUAUAAAAAGUACAAAUUAAAAAAACAAAUGUUUAAAGAAAUCAUUUAAAACCAACCAACCCACCAUUAAAGCAGGAAUAGCAAGAAACAAAGUGAACAUAAAAAAAAGAAAAAUUAAACAAGAAAUCAAGAUAACAAUCAAAAAAGAAAAAUAUGCAAGUUAUUUAAUCAAUGUUAUCGAAGUUAACUAAUAUUUGCUUAAAAUCAUCAAAAUUGUGUGUUAAAUUAAACAAAUAUUAAGUCAACAAAUAAAGUGCUUUACUGCCAACAUAUUUGCUUAAAAAAAGAGUGUUAAACUAAAAUUGCAGUUGAAUACAAAUUUUGUGGAUUAUUGUGAAACUGCCGCCUUUUUUUACGUCACGUGAAUUUUUUCUUAUUAUAAAAUUUGUGCAUUGUCUGUUUGGAAAAUAAAUAAUACAUCUAAAACAGGUAAGAUUCUGGAAUUAAUGUAAAUAUACUCGUAAAUAUAUCAGCAGAGUUUAUUAAGUUAAUUAAGAGAUCACAACAUAUUGAUCAUACUUUUAUUGAUGGAAGUUAUCAAUUUUCAAAAGUUGUUUAACAAAUGGUUUCAGGAAGAAAUUGUUGUAAUAUGUAAGUAAAUCGAAAAUAAUGUGAUCUGGAAAUUGAUAUAAUUAUCAGACUAAACACUGAUCUAGUCCAUAGGAAGGGAUUUUGUGUAUAGAAUGAUCUAGUCUAAAGAGUAGACUAGUAUAGUCUCAAAACUUAAACGAUCUUAUCUAAAGACUAGACCGACUAAGGCCAAAGACUAGACUGGCUAAGAUCUAGACUAGACUAACUUAAUCUAAACACUAGACAGAUCAUGUCUAAAGACUAGACUGACGUAGUCUAAAGACU